UUUACAUUGUUGGGUAAUUUUACUUGGGAAACAUCCUGGCUAUUAGCAGGUACUGAUGGGUAGAAAAUUUGUUGUGAAAAGGACUGAUAGUUACCACAAGCCCUGCGAGGGACCAGUACCACCCACAAAUCAAACAGUCAGGAAUGGAGGUCUGCAGCUAUAUUGGGGUUUGUGUCUAAUGACCAGGCUUUGACAGAGACCUUCUGGAAUAGCAAAGCACUGAUUUCAAGAGUUGGCAAAGAUGUUAGUGCAGAUGGGACUUGAAAUGUCAUGGGUGGAACCUUUCCUACUUUGUUUUUGGAAGUAUACAUGUGUGAUCUGGGUUUGUCCCUCUUUGGGAAUUCUUUCACUUUUAAUUUAAACAACAGCAAGUGAAUUGCUGCCAAAGCGUUCUGGAGCUAUACUGCACAUAGUUACCACAUUUUUAUCUUCCUGAGAAAUACUGCUUUCAUUUCUUCUUUUCUUUUGUUAAAAGACCCAUUUCUUGGGUUAAAGAAAACAGCAUUAAUUUGCAUUGGAUGCUAAACUGAGUUAGUAAAGUGUACCACCAACACUCCUGUUCAGAUCCCUAACACUGUCCUUCUUAUUAUGUACUCCUGGGAUAUGGAGCCAUGUUGACACAUGAUGGUAGAAUUUCUGGCUUAGCAUGCCAUGGUGGUGAAUUUUCUCCCCCAGUGUUUCCUUAUGUCUGCAAGUAUACUGUGGAGAAUAAUAUUCUCGUGUUCCAAAUGUAGAUUGGCCAAGCACCUAAAUUCUUGCAAGAUAGACAAUCCCCAUUCUGAAAGCACAAAGGCAGCAUGCAAUUUCCCUGAAAGAAAGAGUAAAAUAGUCACAGAGAUAUGGACAGCACACAGAGGCCAACUUUUUGUCCAAUGAUCUAACUGGUAGAAAUGUUGAAUCUUUGCUGACAUGGUGAAUUUCCUGUUGCAGCUCAAUAAAUUGCAUUAAUUACCUGAUGGGAAGAAAAGGAAUACUUUGAAGGCAUUCUGUGAAACAACCACUGUCAACAAGAAUUACGACAGGAAUUCUGCUAUCCAUCUGAUCAUAGAUUUUUGCAUUACAAAGUUAUUUUGGUGCUACCUCCAAAAAGCACAUUACAAAUCUGCUGCUGUAUUGGGCUGUGCUGGUUUUGUCUUGCAGCUGGGUUGCUGAUUGGGUAAGUCUGUGACUACAUCCAGUUCCAGAAGAGUCGUUUUUUCUUUUUAAUUGGUACAGCUCACAAUGACUCGCAAUCCACUGUCUUCAAGAUCCACCACCCACAACUACUUUUUGGCCAAAUUUAAGACUGAAAAGAGGGGACCAAAUAGCGGCUGAGUCACUUCUGUUGUGUGCCAACAAGUAGCUCAUUUGCUGAUUGGCCACCUGCCUUUGAUCUGGCUUAUAUCAUACCAGCGAGCUGCUCCAGCUGGCCAGAGAUUGGGGAAUGUGAGCUGUAGUCAAGGAUACCUGCAAAGCACUGGGAGCUGUAGUGAAGGGUCUUUGAAGAGAAGCACAGGGAAAGGCAAAUUAGAGGGAAAGCAAGGGAAAAAUAGAGGCAAGGAGCCAAUUUCUGAUCUCAGCAUCACUGAUGUCACCAAUGAGAAUGUGGUCCACAGAGUGCUGGGGAAAGAAGAAAAGAAACAGGUCAGAGAGAAGGGUGACAGACAAGCAGAGGUGACAGAGAGGGGAUAAUUAAUCAUGUCUCAACUGUAAUCUUAAUGACUACUCUGCAUUAACAUUUGUAAUGCCUCUUACUCAGCCAAGAGCACAAAAUUAAUAAAAUCUUUCCAAGAGACUGCUUUGUCUGUCAUAGCAGGUCCAGCAGUGAUUUUUACUGGUGGCACACUCAUUCUGCAGAUCCAUCUGAAGAGCAACAUGCACAGAUCUAAUGAAGAGGAAAAGGUUUAAAUCUCCUCAUGUUUCAGCAGCUGGAGCUGAGUUACGGUCCAUGUCUUCCUGGUAUAACUUGUCUAAGAACUUCUCCAAGUACAGCUGAAACCAGGACAAUUAGGGACAGAAAUUUGCACUAAGCUGCUAGUAUAAACUCCAGUGUGCCAUACAUGCAGCCAGUUAGCUUCUUACCAAGACAGCUUUUCUAAUGGUCCACUGAUGAAGGAUCUCUCCACAGCCAUCCUCCUUGGAAGAGAGAUCUGCUCCUUGUUGUAUGCUCACUAGGUAAUAGGAGUGAAACCCAGGAUAUGAUUAUAAAGGUUCCUUCCCUUCAAGCUUUGAUGAGCUUUUAAUUAUCAUGUCUUAAACAAGAAGUCUCUUCAUUGUCAAGAGAGCAUUCUCCAUUUUACUGGGAGAAUGUGUCACGGGAUGAUCAUAUGCAGCACACCUCCUUGCUUCCCUUUCAGCAGUUAAUCCUCUCCUGU